rnacentral:rRNA from 1 species
GGCUCAGGAUGAACGCUAGCUACAGGCUUAACACAUGCAAGUCGAGGGGCAGCAUGUCGGUUGCUUGCAACCGAUGAUGGCGACCGGCGCACGGGUGAGUAACGCGUAUCCAACCUACCCUUGUCCAUCGGAUAAACCCGUCGAAAGGCGGCCUAACACGAUAUGCGGUUCACCGCAGGCAUCUAAGGUGAACGAAAUGUGAAGGAGAAGGAUGGGGAUGCGUCUGAUUAGCUUGUUGGCGGGGUAACGGCCCACCAAGGCGACGAUCAGUAGGGGUUCUGAGAGGAAGGUCCCCCACAUUGGAACUGAGACACGGUCCAAACUCCUACGGGAGGCAGCAGUGAGGAAUAUUGGUCAAUGGGCGAGAGCCUGAACCAGCCAAGUAGCGUGCAGGAUGACGGCCCUAUGGGUUGUAAACUGCUUUUAUAAGGGAAUAAAGUGAGCCUCGUGAGGCUUUUUGCAUGUACCUUAUGAAUAAGGACCGGCUAAUUCCGUG